GAUGAAGAACGCAGCGAAAUGCGAUACGUAAUGUGAAUUGCAAAUUCAGUGAAUCAUCGAGUCGUUGAACGCACAUUGCGCCCCCUGGUAUUCCGGGGGGCAUGCCUGUCCGAGCGUCAUUGCUGCCCUCAAGCACGGCUUGUGUGUUGGGCCCCGUCCUCCGAUCCCGGGGGACGGGCCCGAAAGGCAGCGGCGGCACCGCGUCCGGUCCUCGAGCGUAUGGGGCUUUGUCACCCACUCUGUAGGCCCGGCCGGCGCUUGCCGAUCAACCCAAAUUUUUAUCCAGGUUGACCUCGGAUCAGGUAGGGAUACCCGCUGAACUUAAGCAUAUCAAUAAGCGGAGGA
rnacentral:misc_RNA from 1 species